GUGCCAGCAGCCGCGGUAAUACGUAGGAGGCAAGCGUUAUCCGGAUUUAUUGGGCGUACAGAGAGUGUAGGCGGCUCGUCAAGUCGAAUGUAAAAUCUUCCGGCUUAACUGGAAGGGAUCAUUCGAUACUGACGGACUGGAGUGCAGUAGAGGAAAGCGGAAUUCCCGGUGUAGUGGUGAAAUGCGUAGAUAUCGGGAGGAACACCAGUGGCGAAGGCGGCUUUCUAGGCUGCUACUGACGCUGAGGCUCGAAAGCGUGGGGAGCAAACAGGAUUAGAUACCCUGGUAGUCCACGCUGUAAACUAUGGACACUAGGUAUGGGGAGUAUCGACCCUUCCCGUGCCGAAGUUAACGCAUUAAGUGUCCCGCCUGGGGAGUACGGUCGCAAGACUAAAACUUAAAGGAAUUGGCGGGG
rnacentral:rRNA from 1 species